AAAAGCUCUGAUGGAUUUCUUGGUGGAUCUGUGCAGUCAAUACAAUCUGAAUCCAGCAUAUCAUUUUCUGGAGCUGCUGUCACCCGAUGCUUAGCCCAUCAGCUUUAAGCCCAAUGCCCUACUGUGUGCCCUGGACAUCUCUUGUGCUCUGAUCAAAGAGUGAGUGCUGGAGGACAAGAUUAUCCGCAAGUCACCGUGGCCACGAGAUCCAGUCUGUGUCCAGAUCAGAGGGUCACUGCAGUCACCCGGAUCCAGUACGUAUCCAGACCAGAUGGUGGAUCAGCACCUAGAAAGGACCUCUACUGCCCUGAAAGACAGCGGAGACCAGGACAACUAGAGCCCCAGAUACAGAUCCCCUGUAAAGACCUUGUCUCAGAGGAGCACCAGGACAAGACCACAGGAAACAGAUGAUUCUUCUGCACAAUCUGACUUUGCUGCAGCCUGGAAUUGAACUACUGGUUUUCGUCUGGUCAGAGGAGAAUUGACCCCCCAACUGGGCCUGGUUUGUCCCAAGGUUUUUUUCUCCAUUCUGUCACCGAUGGAGUUUCGGUUCCUUGCCGCUGUCGCCUCUGGCUUGCUUAGUUGGGGUCACUUCAUCUACAGCGAUAUCAUUGACUUGAUUGCAAAUAAAUGCACAGACACUAUUUAAACUGAACAGAGAUGACAUAACUGAAUUCAAUGAUGAACUGCCUUUAACUAUCAUUUUGCAUUAUUGAGACACUGUUUUCCAAAUGAAUGUUGUUCAGUGCUUUGACGCAAUGUAUUUUGUUUAAAGCACUAUAUAAAUAAAGGUGAUUGAUUGAUUGAUUGAUUAAGCUAUCACAUUUAACAGUUAAUGGAUUUGCACGUCAAGACAAACAUGUGCAAUAGAUAAAGAUACCCAGCAAUUGACAAAAGCUGCACAUUUUGUGAUUAAAUUACAUGUUUAGUUUAAUGUACAGUUCAAACAAUUGUUCAGUUACACUGCUGCCAUUAAAAGAAACAAAUGAACACCAUGA